rnacentral:rRNA from 1 species
AGUGAACGCUGGCGGUAGGCCUAACACAUGCAAGUCGAACGGCAGCACAGUAAGAGCUUGCUCUUACGGGUGGCGAGUGGCGGACGGGUGAGGAAUACAUCGGAAUCUACUUUUUCGUGGGGGAUAACGUAGGGAAACUUACGCUAAUACCGCAUACGACCUACGGGUGAAAGCAGGGGAUCUUCGGACCUUUCGCGAUUGAAUGAGCCGAUGUCGGAUUAGCUAGUUGGCGGGGUAAAGGCCCACCAAGGCGUCGAUCCGUAGCUGGUCUGAGAGGAUGAUCAGCCACACUGGAACUGAGACACGGUCCAGACUCCUACGGGAGGCAGCAGUGGGGAAUAUUGGACAAUGGGCGCAAGCCUGAUCCAGCCAUACCGCGUGGGUGAAGAAGGCCUUCGGGUUGUAAAGCCCUUUUGUUGGGAAAGAAAAGCAGCAGGUUAAUACCCCGCUGUUCUGACGGUACCCAAAGAAUAAGCACCGGCUAACUUCGUG